rnacentral:rRNA from 1 species
UACGCAGGUCCCAAGCGUUAUCCGGAUUUAUUGGGUUUAAAGGGUGCGUAGGCGGUCUAUUAAGUCAGUGGUGAAAGCCCCAAGCUUAACUUGGGAACUGCCAUUGAUACUGAUGGUCUUGAGUACAUUUGAGGUGGGCGGAAUGUGUCAUGUAGCGGUGAAAUGCUUAGAUAUGACACAGAACACCGAUUGCGAAGGCAGCUCACUAAACUGUAACUGACGCUGAGGCACGAAAGCGUGGGGAGCAAACAGG